rnacentral:rRNA from 1 species
GGAGUCUAGCGUGUGCGCGAGUCAUUGGGUAUUAAUAAACCUAAAGGCGAAAUGAAAGUGAAGGCGCGCUUUAAGCGCGCUAAGGGAGGAUGGGUCGGCUUAUCGCCGGCCUCGCACUCCCGGGGCGUCUAUUUCUCAUUGCGAGAAAAGGCGCACCUAGAGCGUACACGCUGGGACCCGAAAGAUGGUGAACUAUGCCUGGUCAGGACGAAGUCAGGGGAAACCCUGAUGGAGGUCCGUAGCGAUUCUGACGUGCAAAUCGAUCGUCGGAACUGGGUAUAGGGGCGAAAGACUAAUCGAACCAUCUAGUAGCUGGUUCCCUCCGAAGUUUCCCUCAGGAUAGCUGGUGCUCGGAGAUAUGAGUUUCAUCUGGUAAAGCGAAUGAUUAGAGGCAUUGGGGACGAAACGUCCUCAACCUAUUCUCAAACUUUAAAUGGGUGAGAUCUCCGGCUUAAUUCUUAAAACUGAAGCCGCGAGAAUCUAAGAAUCUAGAGCUCCAAGUGGGCCAUUUUUGGUAAGCAGAACUGGCGUUGUGGGAUGAACCAAACGCAGAGUUAAAGCGCCUAAAUAGACGCUUAUGAGAUACCAUGAAAGGCGUUGGUAACUUAAGACAGCAGGACGGUGGCCAUGGAA